AACGAACGCUGGCGGCAGGCCUAACACAUGUAAGUCGAGCGAGGACUUCGGUCCUAGCGGCGGACGGGUGAGUAACGCGUGGGAACGUGCCCUUUGCUACGGAAUAGCCCCGGGAAACUGGGAGUAAUACCGUAUGUGCCCUUUGGGGGAAAGAUUUAUCGGUCAAAGGAUCGGCCCGCGUUGGAUGAGGUGGUUGGUGGGGUAAUGGCCUACCAAGCCGGCGAUCCAUAGCUGGUUUGAGAGGUUGAUCAGCCACACUGGGACUUAGACACGGCCCAGCCUCCUACGGGAGGCAGGAGUGGGGAAUCUUAGACAAUGGGCGCAAGCCUGAUCUAGCCAUGCCUCGUGAGCGAUGAAGGCCUUAGGGUUGUAAAGCUCUUUCAGUGGGUAAGAUAAUGACGGUACCCACAGAAGAAGCCCCGGCUAACUCCGUGCCAGCCGCCGCGGUAACAC
rnacentral:rRNA from 1 species